CCCUCCCCCCCCGCCUCCCCAAACUCACCUCAGUUGCCAACAGCCACCCCGUGCCUGUUGGACCAUCCCUUGCUAGUUCUUCAUCUCCUGUGGGCCUAGUUUCCAGGGGCUGAGUGACCAGGGUCUUAAAACAGGUUUAAGACUUGGCUUGCUGGCCCUGGAGAUCCCGUCGCCGUCUUCGUCGAAUUCGAACUCCUAGCCAUCGUCCUUCCCUGGCCUGUCGCGUCUUCCUGUGCCAUUUGCUGUUGUGCUCAGGUUCCACGAGCUGCCCAUCUCCACAGAAGAGCAGCUGGCAUUGCCCACCGGCCAUGCCGGCUGAAGAAAAGAAGUCUGAGGACCCCAGGACGCCCAGCGCGAGGACCCCAGGAAGCCCAGCGCGAGGACCCCACCCACGACGCCCAGCGCGAGGACCUCACGCACAACCCUCCUGGAUUAGGCCAAAGCCAUCAUCUGGAAUCCUGCGUGGGACCCUGGACACACGGACACAGACACCUGCCCCCAGGACCCUCCAACUGUAAAUCGAUUGGAAGCGCCCUUGUGAGCUGGGGCCUUCAAAGGGCUGAGGAGAAAAUGCAGGCCGAGAGACCAGCUUCUCAAAUAGGCUUCAAGCCUCCAUGACCUGAGCUCACCCCCUGGAAAUGUCUGGAAAACAUAAUGGGCAGGUUUUCUGUCUUCAAAGUUUCCA
rnacentral:lncRNA from 1 species